rnacentral:lncRNA from 1 species
AAACCCAAUGUGUGCCCCGUCGAGGUGAGAAGUCAGAAGAACUGUAGUCUUCAGCUGCGGGUAAUCUUAAGGCCUGUGGCCCCCUGGAGGGGGAGGCCACCAUGGUGGUUUUGUCAGCAUGGUGGAAUUUGGGGUAGUUUCUUUUCCUCCGAGAAUUGUCCUCAGUAUCUUUCUUUACAGAAGACUCUUGAAGCUAUCCCUGUGAGGCACGGGACCUUGAGAGCACUUCCCCGUGUGCGUGCCCGGCCGUGCCUUCUCUCACUGAGGGACAGAAGCCAACCUCGUUCUGUACUGGCCAGGCACCCUCUUCAUCCUCACCCUCACCUCCAGGCUCCAGCUACAUGCGCCUUUUCCCAGUUUCUGAGACCUGAGCCCCAGGGUGCCCCCCAGGUCUGGACAACCUCUUCCCUUCCCUGUUCAUCCUUCAACCUCAGCCCGCCGGGGGAUGGGGGCCCAACCUCCCAGACGCCUCCCCUGACCUCCCAACAAGGCCAACAUCCCUACUGUAUGCUGCCAUUUCCGCCAAGCUGGGAGCUCCGUAAACGCAGGGACCAGGAGCACUGGCGGCAUCGGCCACCGAGAGCUCAGGGCCUCCCCACUGUCUGCCACGGAGUCAUCCACACGCCACAGAUCUGCUCGGAAUGCAUGGAGCCGAGAAGCCCCAGGUUUAACCCCUGCCCUCUCAUGCCUUUCCCACAGGGCUGCAGACAGGCUCUCUCACGACCAUUACCUGUUAAGCCUUCCCCUUUGCCCUGCUUGCAGCCCGGCUGAGGCCACGUCCCAGUUUAAGAGCUACCCCACCUCACUCCCCUCCCCUCCUUCA